AUUCAACCGACAAGUCCGAAAUAGGACGAAACACGCUUCCUGGAU
rnacentral:hammerhead_ribozyme from 1 species